UCCAUUGUGGCUUAGUCGGUAGAACAUCCGACUAUUAUGCGGUAGAACUCGGGUUCGAGCCCCGCUGAAGGCAUGGAU